UUUUUAAGGUAGGCACUCAACAAAUGGAAUAUGAAGGUUAUGUGUGGUAAAUAAUAACAUAUUUCUGUGGGUUGGCCUAACCAUAUGCUUCGUCGACUAUAUUACUUGACAGAAAAAACCUUACAACACGGUUCAGUCACUACCAAAGGAAACACAACAAAUUGCUGAGCAACAGAAAGUUUCUUCCCUGGCUGAGGUGCUGAAACUUGCAAAAAAAACAAAGAAAUAUGUAAUUUUUGACUUGCGCACUCCAAGUAACAGAUCUCAUCCAUACUACAACACUUCGCACAAUGCUGUUAUAGAAACCAUCUUGAAUUCCACAAUUGAUCACAAUCAGAUCCUAUGGCUGCCCAACCAUAAGAAUAGCACCCCGCCUGGAUUCCAGCAGGUUCUGGGAGAAAAACUUGACCCAGAAAAAUUGCAGCAAGACAAAAUUCAUAUAAUUAAUAUUCGUUAUAGCAACAUCAGUGAAGCAGAGAUUAGGAAAUAUGCAACAGCAAAUAUCAGCACAAACGUUUAUGUUGUCAAUGAACGUUGGGUGUUCUCGACACUAUGGUGUGCCAAAGUAAAGUCUGUCACAACCAAUGCAUGUCAUAUCUUUAACGAGAUGGCUGUACCCAUUUGGCAUCUGGUAAGUGAAAUAUUUAAACUGAUGAAAAUGACAUAAGGAUUUAGGAAUACUAGGAAUGAAAUCAA